UGUAUAGUCAGCUAAUUAAGCUAAUGGGUUCAUACCUCAUAAAUGAGUUA
rnacentral:tRNA from 1 species